UACAGAGGUCUCAAGCGUUGUUCGGAUUCAUUGGGCGUAAAGGGUGCGUAGGCGGCGCGGUAAGUCGGGUGUGAAAUCUUGGAGCUUAACUCCGAAACUGCAUUCGAUACUGCCGUGCUUGAGGACUGGAGAGGAGACUGGAAUUUACGGUGUAGCGGUGAAAUGCGUAGAUAUCGUAAGGAAGACCAGUGGCGAAGGCGACUACCUGGCCUGUUCUUGACGCUGAGGCGCGAAAGCUAGGGGAGCAAACGGG
rnacentral:rRNA from 1 species